rnacentral:rRNA from 1 species
UACCCUUGACAUGUCCAGUAUGGGGCCGAGAGAUUGGCUCCUUCAGUUCGGCUGGCUGGAACACAGGUGCUGCAUGGCUGUCGUCAGCUCGUGUCGUGAGAUGUUGGGUUAAGUCCCGCAACGAGCGCAACCCUCAUCGUCUGUUGCCAUCAGGUUAAGCUGGGCACUCUGACGAGACUGCCGGUGACAAGCCGGAGGAAGGCGGGGAUGACGUCAAGUCAUCAUGGCCCUUACGGGUAGGGCCACAAACGUGCUACAAUGGCGGUGACAGUGGGCCGCGAGGCAGUGAUGCCAAGCCAAUCCCAAAAAGCCGUCUCAGUUCAGAUUGUACUCUGCAACUCGAGUGCAUGAAGCUGGAAUCGCUAGUAAUCGUGGAUCAGCACGCCACGGUGAAUACGUUCCCGGGUC